rnacentral:rRNA from 1 species
UACGUAGGUGACUAGCGUUGUCCGGAUUUACUGGGCGUAAAGAGCGCGCAGGCGGUCGUUCAAGUCGAGUGUGAAAGCCCCCGGCUCAACUGGGGAGGGUCAUUCGAUACUGAUCGACUCGAAGGCAGGAGAGGGAAGCGGAAUUCCCGGUGUAGUGGUGAAAUGCGCAGAUAUCAGGAGGAACACCGGUGGCGAAGGCGGGUCUCUGGGCAACAACUGACGCUGAGGUGCGAAAGCGUGGGGAGCAAACAGG